ACCUACAGAAGAAGCACCGGCUAACUCCGUGCCAGCAGCCGCGGUAAUACGGAGGGUGCGAGCGUUAAUCGGAAUUACUGGGCGUAAAGCGCAUGCAGGCGGCCUGUUAAGUCAGAUGUGAAAGACCCGGGGCGUUAACCUCGGAAUUGCAUUUGAAACUGGCAGGCUAGAGUCUUGUAGAGGGGGGUAGGAAGUUUCAGGUGUAGCGGUGAAAUGCGUAGAGAUCUGAAGGAAUACCAGUGGCGAAGGCGGCCCCCUGGACAAAGACUGACGCUCAGAUGCGAAAGCGUGGGGAGCAAACAGGAUUAGAUACCCCUGGUAG
rnacentral:rRNA from 1 species